GGAAGAGAAAGGGCUCGGACUUACAUGACAAUGAGGGCAGAAUUUCGGGAGUUCUCCUGCAGGAUUUCGUGCAGCCGGAUCUGCUGCUCAGACUGGAGGGACAAAGCAGGGGUCAUGAAGGGGCUGGCAUGAUCUGGAGAUCUUCAUCCGACACUUUCCAGGGUGCCUCCUUCUUCAGGGCUUCCACCGCCUCAGGGUCCCGCUGACCCUCGUUCAGCCGGUACGGUGCUAGCAGGUCCUCAAACUCCUUCUGGCUGCCAGACAAAGCGGAGGGUGCUGGGACAGCUCUGUCUUCACCAAGACCCAUGGGAUGGAGCCGGGGGGGUCCCGACUACAGUAGGGCAAUGUCAGGCAGCACGACCACCUCGUUGAAGCCCAAGCGAAACUUGGCGAGGAGGAGCUGGAUCCUGCCGUGGAGAUGGAGUGAAAUCAGGCAGAGAGAGAGAGAGAGAGAGAGGCCAAACUGGGGCCAGCGGGGG